rnacentral:tRNA from 2 species
GGGUCGUUAGCUCAGUCGGUAGAGCAGCGGACUUUUAAUCCGUUGGCCGCAGGUUCGAAUCCUGCACGACCCACCA